GAACGAUUAAACUCCCCUUCGGGGGAGAUAUAAAGUGGCGCACGGGUGAGUAACACGUAGGUAAUUUACCUUUGAGUGGGGAAUAACUACCGGAAACGGUGGCUAAUACCGCAUAAUGCAGCGGCACCUAAUGGUGACAGUUGUUAAAGGAGCAAUCCGCUUAAAGAGGAGCCUGCGGCAGAUUAGCUAGUUGGUAAGGUAAUGGCUUACCAAGGCUACGAUCUGUAACCGACCUGAGAGGGUGGUCGGUCACACUGACACUGAAUAACGGGUCAGACUCCUACGGGAGGCAGCAGUCGGGAAUUUUGGGCAAUGGGCGAAAGCCUGACCCAGCAACGCCGCGUGAAGGACGAAGUCUUUCGGGAUGUAAACUUCGUAAGAAUGGGAAGAAUAAAUGACGGUACCAUUUGUAAG
rnacentral:rRNA from 1 species